AAAUAUGUAAUGUUGAUGAAAAAUCGUGUCUACAACCAGCACCAGGAGAUAAUUUUACACGAUAAUGUGCGGAAUUUGUUGCGCUUUGUUUCGAGGGCAGAAACCGGGCAAGUUAGAUUUCUCGUGCUCCAGACUAAAAAACAGGGGUCCGGAUGCGAGUUCUCAAGCUGCGGUGGAUAUUGAUCCUCAGACACACUUAGUCCUUACUGGACAUGUCCUACAUAUGAGAGGAUGUUUAACUCCACAGCCCGCCACCGACAAAGCGGGAAAUUUUCUCCAGUGGAAUGGAGAGAUAUUUGGAGGCUUACAGGUUGGUCCAAAUGAAAAUGACACAACAUUGUUGUUAAGUAAAUUGUCAGAAAAGUCAGAUGUGGAACACAUUCUUGGAACUUUGUCCAGUGUACAAGGUCCAUGGGCAUUCAUCUACUGGCAGGAAAAAACGAAGAAACUGUGGUUUGGAAGAGACUUCUUUGGAAGAAGGAGCUUGUGUUGGCAUCUUCCCCAAUCAUCAACAGACCCAUUCCUUCUGACAUCAGUACGCCAAAACACAGAGGAGUUGGUUGAGGUACCUUCUAUUGGGAUUUAUUCUGUGACUUUGACACAAACUGACUGUUUACACAUUACAGUGUAUAGUUGGUCUGAAGCAGUCUGGCCAGGAACAAUGGACUUGGUAACAAGUGACAACCUUCACCUUGGGUUGGUGGGGGGCAUUGACGGUAACGUUCAGUUCUGUCUUCAUUCUGACCUUCACCUUGCCAAAUGUAUUCCACCUUUAAACAGAAGUCUCCCAGAUAUUGAUACCUGUAAGGUCAUGACAGAGAGUCCAAAUUCAGUGGUAAGUAACUUGCUACAGGAUGCUCAGUUCAAUUCUUGCGUCGAUCACCUCAUCGAAAUCCUGCUGCAGAGUGUCACACUGCGAGUGUUUAACCAGGUCAUAUGGGCUCAGACUAAGAGACUUGACAGUGAACUCAAUGCAUCACCCCACAACUCGACUCAGCAGACUGUAGAAACUAGUUCUGUAGCUGAUCAAAUACAACCUCAGGCACAGAGAGAUUUGUCUCAUGACCAAAAUCUGGAACAACCAGGGGAUGGAGUGAUUACAGGUCAAUCCAAAGUGGCCAUUCUCUUCUCAGGCGGCGUGGACUCAGCAGUUAUAACAGCACUUGUUGACAAGUGUCUUCCCAGCCAUGAGUCAGUGGAUCUGAUCAAUGUUGCUUUUGAGAGGAAUGUUCAGCAAAAAAAUAGAAAACCGGAUGAGGAAGAGAAGUGGAAUGUACCUGAUCGACAGACAGGACUUCUGGCUCUGCAGGAACUGAACCCCGAGAGGAAGUGGAACUUUGUCAUGGUAAAUAUCAGCAUUGCUGAAUUACAAAGACAAAGAUCCGAACAUAUCCGCCAUCUUGUAUAUCCCUUGGAGACUGUGCUGGAUGACAGUAUUGGCUGUGCUGUUUGGUUUGCCGCCCGAGGGGAAGGAAUUCUGGGUAAUGGAGAUCAUGCUGGAAAGCCAUACAAAAGCAGUUCAAAGAGAACUUGGCUGGCAGGGCCUCAUAGAUGAGGUGGAGAUGGAGGUUCAGAGAAUAUCUGCCAGAAACCUUGGAAGGGAUGACAGAAUUAUAACAGACCAUGGGAAGGAAGCCAGGUUUCCAUUUCUUGAUGAGAAUGUGGUGUCUUAUCUCCAAACCCUUCCAGUGCACAUCAAGGCGGACUUGCGCUAUCCCCGGGGUCUUGGGGAGAAGAUUCUACUGAGAGCCUGUGCUGUAAAGCUUGGCCUGAUCAAGUCAGCUUUGUUUCCUAAGAGAGCCAUUCAGUUUGGAUCAAGGAUAGCAAAAACUGAGAACAAUAAAGAGAAAGCCUCGGAGAAAUGUUCCCGUCUGGCCGAUCCCACAUGACUAAUCCCACAGCAGAACCCCACGUGACUAAUCCCACAGUAGAACAGACAGGAACUGUAAACUUCCUGUGCAGUGAUUGCCGAUAACCAUGGAAUGGAUUAAUUCCUACCAACGUGUUACACACAAAGAUGUUGAUAAUGGCACAAGUCCAUACAGUAGGGAAAGUUAUAAAAGGAUAUAAACUUCUAUGUUGUCUUUAAUUUCUACAGUGCAUGGUGUUUUCUACAUCCAGGAAAUAAAACCUGGCCAACAUCAUUGUUAAUCUUGGUUUAGGUCUGCCUUAAUGUAACUGUGUUGAUGCAUACUAUGGGAUUGCAGCCUUUAUAAAAGAGUUUUAUAAAAUGAUAUUUUAGUUUCAAUCAAUGGUGUACUGGGAUUUAUUAGGAGUUAAUUUAUCCACACUGCACUGUCACCACUAUUUAAUGUCAGAUAUAUACCCUGGAAUACACAUUGCAUUGUGAUGUCACUAUUUACUCCAAACUUCAGCAUCUAUGCCCAUCAGAGCUCAACAAGUACAUCAGAUUUUUAUAUGCUCUCAUCAUGUUUCAUGUAUCAUUACAACAAUAAAAGGAUUCAUAAUU
rnacentral:misc_RNA from 1 species